rnacentral:rRNA from 1 species
UCCAGACUCCUACGGGAGGCAGCAGUGAGGAAUAUUGGUCAAUGGCCGCAGGGCUGAACCAGCCAAGUCGCGUGAGGGAUGACGGUCCUAUGGAUUGUAAACCUCUUUUGUCAGGGAGCAAAGGGCGCCACGUGUGGCGUUUUGCGAGUACCUGAAGAAAAAGCAUCGGCUAACUCCGUGCCAGCAGCCGCGGUAAUACGGAGGAUGCGAGCGUUAUCCGGAUUUAUUGGGUUUAAAGGGUGCGCAGGCGGAUUUUUAAGUCAGCGGUCAAAUCGUGGGGCUCAACCCCAUCCAGCCGUUGAAACUGGGGAUCUAGAGUGUGCGAGAGGUAUGCGGAAUGCGUGGUGUAGCGGUGAAAUGCAUAGAUAUCACGCAGAACCCCGAUUGCGAAGGCAGCAUACCGGUGCACAACUGACGCUCAGGCACGAAAGCGUGGGUAUCGAACAGGAUUAGAUACCCCAGUA